rnacentral:rRNA from 1 species
ACGAACGCUGGCGGCGUGCCUAAUACAUGCAAGUAGAACGCUGAAGGAGGAGCUUGCUUCUCCGGAUGAGUUGCGAACGGGUGAGUAACGCGUAGGUAACCUGCCUGGUAGCGGGGGAUAACUAUUGGAAACGAUAGCUAAUACCGCAUAAGAGUAGAUGUUGCAUGACAUUUGCUUAAAAGGUGCAAUUGCAUCACUACCAGAUGGACCUGCGUUGUAUUAGCUAGUUGGUGAGGUAACGGCUCACCAAGGCGACGAUACAUAGCCGACCUGAGAGGGUGAUCGGCCACACUGGGACUGGGACACGGCCCAGACUCCUACGGGAGGCCGCAGUAGGGAAUCUUCGGCAAUGGACGGAAGUCUGACCGAGCAACGCCGCGUGAGUGAAGAAGGUUUUCGGAUCGUAAAGCUCUGUUGUAAGGGAAGAACGAGUGUGAGAGUGGAAAGUUCACACUGUGACGGUACCUUAACAGAAAGGGACGGCUAACUACGUG